rnacentral:rRNA from 1 species
UUGUUGGUGAGGUAAAGGCUUACCAAGGCUUCAAUCAGUAGCUGGUCUGAGAGGACGACCAGCCACACUGGGACUGAGACACGGCCCAGACUCCUACGGGAGGCAGCAGUGGGGAAUUUUGGACAAUGGGGGAAACCCUGAUCCAGCCAUGCCGCGUGAGUGAAGAAGGCCUUCGGGUUGUAAAGCUCUUUCAGCCGGAACGAAACGGUUACGAUUAAUACCUGUAACUACUGACGGUACCGGAAGAAAAAGCACCGGCUAACUACGUGCCAGCAGCCGCGGUAAUACGUAGGGUGCGAGCGUUAAUCGGAAUUACUGGGCGUAAAGCGUGCGCAGGUGGUUUUGUAAGUCAGAUGUGAAAUCCCCGGGCUUAACCUGGGAACUGCGUUUGAAACUACAAGGCUAGAGUGUGGCAGAGGGGGGUGGAAUUCCGCGUGUAGCAGUGAAAUGCGUAGAGAUGUGGAGGAACACCGAUGGCGAAGGCAGCCCCCUGGGUCAACACUGACGCUCASGCACGAAAGCAUGGGGAGCAAACAGGAUUAGAUACCCUGGUAGUCCAUGCCCUAAACGAUGUCAACUAGUUGUCGGGUCUUAACGGGCUUGGUAACGUAGCUAACGCGUGAAGUUGACCGCCUGGGGAGUACGAUCGCAAGAUUAAAACUCAAAGGAAUUGACGGGGACCCGCACAAGCGGUGGAUUAUGUGGAUUAAUUCGAUGCAACGCGAAAAACCUUACCUACCCUUGACAUGUAUUGGAGCCCGCAGAGAUGUGGGUGUGCCCGAAAGGGAACGAUAACACAGGUGCUGCAUGGCUGUUGUCAGCUCGUGUCGUGAGAUGUUGGGUUAAGUCCCGCAACGAGCGCAACCCUUGUCAUUAAUUGCCAUCAUUUAGUUGGGCACUUUAAUGAGACCGCCGG